UACGUAGGGUCCGAGCGUUGUCCGGAAUACUGGGCGUAAAGCGUGCGCAGGCGGUUAUGUAAGACAGAUGUGAAAUGCCCGGGCUUAACCUGGGAACUGCAUUUGUGACUGCAUGGCUAGAGUUUGGCAGAGGGGGGUAGAAUUCCACGUGUAGCAGUGAAAUGCGUAGAUAUGUGGAGGAACACCGAUGGCGAAGGCAGCCCCCUGGGUCAAGACUGACGCUCAUGCACGAA
rnacentral:rRNA from 1 species